rnacentral:rRNA from 1 species
UACGUAGGCAGCAAGCGUUGUUCGGAAUUACUGGGCGUAAAGCGAGUGUAGGCGGUCGGCCAAGUCUGUUGUGAAAUCUCCCGGCUCAACUGGGAGGGUGCGACGGAAACUGGUCGGCUAGAGUGCGGGAGAGGAGAGUGGAAUUCCUGGUGUAGCGGUGAAAUGCGUAGAUAUCAGGAGGAACACCGGUGGUGCAGACGGCUCUCUGGACCGUAACUGACGCUGAGACUCGAAAGCGUGGGGAGCAAACAGG